GAUGAAGAACGCAGCGAAAUGCGAUACGUAAUGUGAAUUGCAGAAUUCAGUGAAUCAUCGAGUCUUUGAACGCACAUUGCGCCCCCUGAUAUUCCGGGGGGCAUGCCAGUCCGAGCGUCAUUGCUGCCCUCAAGCACGGCUUGUGUGUUGGGCCUCCGUCCUCCUCCCGGGGGACGGGCCCGAAAGGCAGCGGCGGCACCGCGUCCGGUCCUCGAGCGUAUGGGGCUUCGUCACCCGCUCUUGUAGGCCCGGCCGGCGCUUGCCGACACAUCAAUCUUUUUUCCAGGUUGACCUCGGAUCAGGUAGGGAUACCCGCUGAACUUAAGCAUAUCAAUAAGCGGAGGA
rnacentral:misc_RNA from 1 species